rnacentral:rRNA from 1 species
AACGUAGGUGACGAGCGUUAUCCGGAUUUACUGGGCGUAAAGCGUGUGCAGGUUGGUUCACAAGUGGUGUAUGAAAGCUGUCGGCUUAACCGACCAGAGGGUAUGCCAGACUGUGAGCCUAGAGGCAGCCAGAGGGACAUGGAAUUCCGGGUGUAGUGGUGAAAUGCGUAGAGAUCCGGAGGAACCCCAGAGGCGAAGGCGGUGUCCUGGGGCUGACCUGACACUCAGACACGAAAGCAUGGGGAGCGAACGGG